rnacentral:rRNA from 1 species
UACGAAGGCCCCGAGCGUUAUCCGGAUUUAUUGGGCGUAAAGAGCUCACAGGUGGCCAAUCAAGUCUUCGGUUAAAUCCCGGUGCUCAACAUCGGAACUGCCGGGGAAACUAGUUGGCUUGAGGGCAGGAGAGGCAGACGGAAUUGCCGGUGUAGUAGUAAAAUGCGUUAAUAUCGGCAAGAACACCAAUAGCGAAAGCAGUCUGCUGGAAUGACCCUGACACUACACGAGCGAAAGCGUGGGUA